ACUGACUCGAUGGACAUGAGAUUGAGCAAGCUCUGAAAGUUGGUGAUGGACAGGGAAGCCUGGUGUGCUGCAGUCCAUGGGGUCGCAAAGAGUCAGACACGACUGAGCCACUAAACUGAACUAUAAGAGGCUAAGUAUGGGGCAUGAGCUGUAACCAACAAGACAGACAAAGUUCCUACUUAGGAACAGGAGAGGAAAUCAUAAACCAAAGAGGAAGAAAACAUUUUGCAUUUGAUUAAAGUAAUAAUAAGCAACAAUGGCAGGAAACGAUUACACCACCAGGUCUGAGUAAAUCCUUGCAAAUAUGGGGUUUACAGACAGCAUAUCUCAAUGCAAAGCCCAACUGAGGGUUGUGGCAAUCUUCCCCUGAGAAUGACUAUGGAAGCAGCACAGCCAGAAGAAGGCUCUGGAAGAGGUAGGUGGCUCUGGGUUUUUUGUUUUUCUUUUCCUGCCAGCACUUUCUACCCCUCCGAGUAAGAGACACUAUGCCCAGUGGGAAUAUGGCCAAAGAUGGCUGCUGACAACACUCAGGCCUCAGCUACAGUAAUAGGUCCAGGUGUAGACACGUGACUUGAUAUGAAAACUCAUAGCAGCCCAGUUCUGAGCUGGGCUACAGUGCUUGGUCCACGUGUCGUCACGUGACCUAAGCAGGGCCAAGGCAGGAUUGUUUUAAGUAGAGCUGGGGAGAGGAUUGCUUUCCCCACCCACUCACCAGCAUCCAGAGCUACUAGUGACCGCAAAGACUGAGGCCAACAUGGAGGGAGGGAGAAACAAGGGAUGGGCUGGAGGUUUGGGGAGGAGACAGAGAGACUGGUGCUGUGUUCUGUCCCUGGACCCAAGAGUGACUCAGCCUCUCUCGUCCUUCAGCAUGGUUACCCGAGUAAUGAAUCCCCCAUCAUACCUCAGUCAGAUCAGCUCUGGUUUCUGUGUGCACCAGAGCAUCCCAGUUCAGGACUUGGGAACUGUUUGUUCCUUCUCAUGGACUCUGUGAAACUAAGCGGGGUAGGUUAUCCUCAAAACAUUCUCCCCUCGGUUUGCCUUGCUGUAUUUGGGGAUGAGAGGUUCCCCCAGGCCCCUCUCCAUCUCUGCCCACCACCACCACCACCCUGCUUUCAAUUAAUUUACCGCUGAAUCAGAGCUCAACAUUUAUUCUUGGGCUUCAAGUCCCAACCUCUAUCUGCUUGCUUGCAUCUCCCUGACCUCAUUCCACUUCUCCUCACCCUGCUCUCCACCAAGGACGGAGCCCGCAGCUUGUCCUGGCCUCUGCUCCAACGCGCACCACGUUAAUGGAAUGAUUUGCUUACAUGCAUGUUCUCCCUAUGAGUGGUGACCUUGAGCCUGGAGACCCAGGUCUCACUCAUCUUUGCACCGCAGCCGCUGGCUUGCAGCAGGCGGGCAGCAGGUGUGGGAGGCAGGCAAAGGAGAGGGGGAGAGAGGGUCGCUCCUUCCUACUGAUUCAGGUCAACCAGUGGGUCAGGUUCUAUGCUUAUUCCUCUGCCAGAUACUCUUGCAUCAGGGGAACACACAGCUCAUGCCCUCAUCUCCUUCAGGCCUCUCCUCCAACGUCAGUUCUCCAACGUCCUGUACCGCAGUUCCCAUGAACUGCAUUCCCCCAGUCCCCAUCUCGAGCCUUACCUUCCUUCAUGCUUUCUUGUUCCCUUCCACCACCACUGGUCUCUCUGCUUCUCUCACUGAGAUGUCAGCUCCAGGUGGGCAGCUAUCUUUGAUUUGUUCUCUGCUGUGUCCUUAGCACCUAGUAGAUGCUCACUAAUCAUCUGUGGCACAAAUUCACCAAAACCCAGCCCUACCAAAUUUGUUUCUCCCUAUGCACUUCAUAUGGUCCAGGUGUGGUCAUGUGACCUAAGCAGGACCAAUCCAGGGUUGGUUUCCGUGGAGCUGCUGAGACGAUUGCUUUUCCCACCCACCCUCCCAGCAUCCAGAGCUCCCUGUGGCUGGUGAACUGCAUUCCAUAUGUUGAUAUGGAGAAGGAAAUGGCAGCCCACUCCACUCUUCUUGCCUGGAGAAUCCUCUUGGACAGAGGAGCCUGGUGGGCUACAGUCCAUGGGGUUGCAAAGAGUCAGACACGACUGAGUGACUAAGCAACAAAAAUGCCCUUCAUGCAUUUUACAGGUGCUAUGAGUGUCAGGUGAUGUGUUAGGUUCCUAGGGCAAAUUUUUACAAACUGAGUGGCCUAAUACAACAGAAACCUAUUAUUUCAAUAUUCUGCAGGCUAGAAGCCCAAACUUGGCAGGGCGGCACUCCUCCCAGGUGCUCCAGAGGGAAAUCCAUUCCUUGCCUCUUCCAGCUUCUGGUGGCUCCAGUAUCCCUUGGCAUGUGGCCGCAGCACUCUAAUCUCUGCCUCUGUCUUCCUGUCUUCUUCCCUGUCUCUCUCUGCUUCUCCCAUUAAAGGAUGCUUGUAAUUGCAUGUAGUGCCCAUCUGAAUAAUCCAGGGUAAAUUCCACCUCAAGACCCUUAACUUAACCACAGCUUUUCCAUAUAAGGAAACCUGUGAAGGCUCUGAGAGAGAAGUGGACAUACCUUUUCUCACUCGAGGAGUCACCAUUCAGCCCUCUAUAUUAUUUGCUUAAAGACCAGAAAAGCAAAGGUUUCCCACCACCACUUCAUUGGCCUGACAGAUAUGUGAUGAAAAGAGUAUUAUCAUCAUAUUACCUUGCUCCUGUCAGAGUGUGGAAAUGAUUUUUUAAAUGCCAUUUUCUGUGUUUUUAAUUAUCCCAAUUUUCGAAAAUAAUAUCAUGCAUAUGGUAAGAAAAACAGUACAGAAACAUGGGAGAUACAGGAGCCCCUUUGCAAUUUUCCUCUUAACUCCAGUUUCACUUUUUAAAUGUAAUCACCAUAUGCAGUCUGCAUAAUCUUCAUAAAUUUUCUAAGCAUAUUCGAGAGCAUACACUUUUUUGGCUUCUAACAUUAAGAACAGUGGCAGGGGGCUGGGAUGGUUUAUAUCCUGAAGGCAGGACAGCCCUCUGACCCACCAGAAGCUGUCUAAUGACUUCUAGCAAAAUGCACCACACUUAACCUGUCCCCUGCUCUCAGCACUUCGGUUAACUCCAGGAUUUUAACGUUAUAUAUACUCUCUGGUAUCUGUCCAGCUAUACUCCAUCGGAUACACUCCUAGAUGUGGGAUUUCCAUGUCAAUGUGUACAUUUUAAAUUUCUACAGCUAUUGCCCAGUGCCAUUCACCAAGGCGGUGAAAUUCACACGCCCAUCAACAAUGCACAGGUGAGGGUGUCUGUUGCCAAUACCCUUGCCCAUCCUGGCAAGAUAGCAGCAUGUCAGAUCUCAAACUCAGGUAAGUGGACUCUCCACGUGGGCCUGGUGGGGUGGACACAGCCUGAGAGGUUGUCCCCAUAGCCAUCUGAGGCACUGAGCUGCUCAGAGCUCUCGUUUAGGUUUUUAUAAAACAAAGACAGAGUCUGGCGAGGUGAGCCAGAACCAUGCAGUGAGACGCAUUGUGCAACUCAGUAUUUAUUUCUUUAGCACAGCUAGAACUUAAAUAUGGUCAAAACAUAUUCUCCUUUUAAUUUACACAAACAAAUAUGUUCCCGGGCUGACACCUCCGGUGCCAAGUUUCUAGGGGAAACGCAAUUCUACUGUGAGAUGAGAAACCAGCAGAGAGAAGAUGAGGGUGGAAAAGCCACCACCGUUUGCUUCGCACGUCCGAGCUGAGCUUCUCAGAAGGGUGUUUCAGAACUGGGCUGCUGCCUCUUGAUCUCUUUCUGUCUUUGUUGCAGAUAAACCUGCCAGUAAUUUCAGCAAAUGAAACGUGGAACAUGUAAAGGCCAAAUGAUGGAAAACACUCCGGUUUUAAUAAAAGGAGGUCUGCUCGGCUGGGACUCCUCUGUCCUGCUAGUCAGGAGAUGCAAAGAUUUAUCCAGAGAGGGGCUGAUGAAUUGAAGAAACAGAAAUGAGGCCAAUCCCCUGAUUCAACGGUGACACAUGAAUGAUGUUCAGUAAACAGUCAUCAGAUGGACCAACCAACCAGGCUAUCAUCACCUCUGACUGCGCCUCCAUCUGAAAUUGCAGAAACCCUCUGUAGCCACUGUGACCUCCAGUUCCCAUUUCAGACAGGCUGACAUCCACGAUGUCACAUGAUAGAAGGUGACUCCAGAGAGACUGACUACAACAAGGCUCCUGGAGGGAGCUAUGGCAGACAAGAGUGGGUGUGGUUUUUCUUUAAUUAUUGUACCUGUUUUGUCUGCUCUUUCUUGGCUCUGUUCACAUCUCCACCCCAGUGCCAGUACAGGGGGAAAAAAAAAAAAAAACAGAACAAAAAACAUCGCAGAGUUUGAGACAAGAUAGCUGGCCGGUUCCCUCUCUGCUUGUAAUUAAUGCUGAAAAUGACUUGCCUUGGCCACAAAGGUAAUAAUAAAGUCAGGGAGUCUGAUUAUUUGGCUACUAA